UGGGGAAUUUUGGACAAUGGGGGCAACCCUGAUCCAGCAAUGCCGCGUGAGUGAAGAAGGCCUUCGGGUUGUAAAGCUCUUUUGUCAGGGAAGAAACGGUAGUAGCGAAUAACUAUUACUAAUGACGGUACCUGAAGAAUAAGCACCGGCUAACUACGUGCCAGCAGCCGCGGUAAUACGUAGGGUGCAAGCGUUAAUCAGAAUUACUGGGCGUAAAGCGUGCGCAGGCGGUUGUGUAAGUCAGAUGUGAAAUCCCCGGGCUCAACCUGGGAAUUGCAUUUGAGACUGCACGGCUAGAGUGUGUCAGAGGGGGGUAGAAUUCCACGUGUAGCAGUGAAAUGCGUAGAUAUGUGGAGGAAUACCGAUGGCGAAGGCAGCCCCCUGGGAUAACACUGACGCUCAUGCACGAAAGCGUGGGGAGCAAACAGGAUUAGAUACCCACGUAGUCCCUGAGCGGGCUGGCAAGG
rnacentral:rRNA from 1 species